GGGCCCGCACAAGCGGUGGAGCAUGUGGUUUAAUUCGAUGAUACGCGAGGAACCUUACCAGGGCUUAAAUGUAGUAUGACCGGUCUAGAAAUAGGCCUUCCCUUCGGGGCAGAUUACAAGGUGCUGCAUGGUUGUCGUCAGCUCGUGCCGUGAGGUGUUAGGUUAAGUCCUGCAACGAGCGCAACCCCUAUUCUUAGUUGCCAGCGGUUCGGCCGGGGACUCUAAGAAGACUGCCAGCGCAAGCUGAGAGGAAGGUGGGGGUGACGUCAAAUCAUCACGGCCCUUACGUCCUGGGCUACACACGUGCUACAAUGGUACAGACAGAGGGCAGCCACCUGGCGACAGGGAGCGAAUCCUUAAAAACCGGUCUCAGUUCGGAUCGGGGUCUGGCAACUCGGCCCCGUG
rnacentral:rRNA from 1 species